rnacentral:rRNA from 1 species
AACGAACGCUGGCGGCAUGCCUAACACAUGCAAGUCGAACGAGACCUUCGGGUCUAGUGGCGCACGGGUGCGUAACGCGUGGGAACCUGCCCUUAGGUUCGGAAUAACUCCACGAAAGGGGUGCUAAUACCGGAUAAUGUCUUCGGACCAAAGAUUUAUCGCCUUUGGAUGGGCCCGCGUUGGAUUAGCUAGUUGGUAGGGUAAAAGCCUACCAAGGCGACGAUCCAUAGCUGGUCUGAGAGGAUGAUCAGCCACACUUGGACUGAGACACGGCCCAGACUCCUACGGGAGGCAGCAGUGGGGAAUAUUGGACAAUGGGCGAAAGCCUGAUCCAGCAAUGCCGCGUGAGUGAUGAAGGCCUUAGGGUUGUAAAGCUCUUUUACCCGGGAUGAUAAUGACAGUACCGGGAGAAUAAGCGCCGGCUAACUCCGUG